rnacentral:rRNA from 1 species
UACGGGGGGGGCAAGCGUUGUUCGGAAUUACUGGGCGUAAAGGGCUCGUAGGCGGCCAACUAAGUCGGAUGUGAAAUCCCCAGGCUUAACCUGGGAACUGCAUCCGAUACUGGAUGGCUUGAAUCCGGGAGAGGGAUGCAGAAUUCCAGGUGUAGCGGUGAAAUGCGUAGAUAUCUGGAGGAAUACCGGUGGCGAAGGCGGCAUCCUGGACCGGUUCUGACACUGAGGAGCGAAAGCGUGGGGAGCGAUCCGG